rnacentral:rRNA from 1 species
CCUACGGGAGGCAGCAGUGAGGAAUAUUGCUCAAUGGACGAGAGUCUGAACCAGCCAAGUAGCGUGAAGGAUGACUGCCCUAUGGGUUGUAAACUUCUUUUAUAUGGGAAUAAAAUGUUCCACGUGUGUGAUUUUGUAUGUACCAUAUGAAUAAGGAACGGCUAACUCCGUGCCAGCAGCCGCGGUAAUACGGAGGAUCCGAGCGUUAUCCGGAUUUAUUGGGUUUAAAGGGAGCGUAGGUGGAUUGUUAAGUCAGUUGUGAAAGUUUGCGGCUCAACCGUAGAAUUGCAGUUGAAACUGGCAGUCUUGAGUACAGUAGAGGUGGGCGGAAUUCGUGGUGUAGCGGUGAAAUGCUUAGAUAUCACGAAGAACUCCGAUUGCGAAGGCAGCUCACUGGACUGCAACUGACACUGAGGCUCGAAAGUGUGGGUAGCAAACAGGAUUAGAUACCCUUGUAGUC